rnacentral:rRNA from 1 species
GCACAAGCAGCGGAGCGUGUGGUUUAAUUCGAUGCUACACGAAGAACCUUACCAGGGUUUGACAUGCAAGUGGUAGGAACCGAAAGGCGACCGACCUUCGGGGAGCUUGCACAGGUGCUGCAUGGCUGUCGUCAGCUCGUGUCGUGAGAUGUUCGGUUAGGUCCGCUAACGAGCGCAACCCUCGCUGUGUGUUACAAGUGUCACACGGUACUGCCGGUCUUAAGCCGGAGGAAGGUGGGAUGACGUCAAGUCAGCAUGGCCUUUAUGUCCUGGGCUACACACACGCUACAAUGGCCGGUACAAUAGGUUGCGAAGCCGCGAGGCGGAGCCAAUCCUCAAAGCCGGCCUCAGUUCAGAUUGCAGGCUGCAACCCGCCUGCAUGAAGAUGGAGUUGCUAGUAACCGCAGGUCAGCUAUACUGCGGUGAAUACGUUCCCGGGGCUU